rnacentral:rRNA from 1 species
AGCGAACGCUGGCGGCAGGCUUAACACAUGCAAGUCGAGGGGCGCGGCAGACGGGUGAGUAACGCGUGGGAACGUACCUUUUGGUUCGGAACAACACAGGGAAACUUGUGCUAAUACCGGCUACCGAAAGAUCGGAGCGCUUCUGAUUAGCUAGUUGGUGAGGUAAUGGCUCACCAAGGCGACGAUCAGUAGCUGGUCUGAGAGGAUGAACAGCCACAUUGGGACUGAGACACGGCCCAAACGCCUACGGGAGGCAGCAGUGGGGAAUAUUGGACAAUGGGGGCAACGCUGAUCCAGACAUGCCGCGUGAGUGAUGAAGGCACGAGGGUUGUAAAGCGCUUUUGUGCGGGAAGCGGUACCGAAAGAAUAAGCCCCGGCUAACUUCGUGCCAGCAGCCGCGGUAAUAC